AUGUAAUGCAAUUCCUGCAAUGUUAAUGCACCAGAUCCCAUUAGGACUCUGUUGUUGAGCAUGCUUGGGCUAGAGUAGUAUUGGGAUGGGUGACCUCCUGGGAAGUCCUAGUGUUUUACAUU
rnacentral:rRNA from 1 species